rnacentral:tRNA from 1 species
AGAAUUUACUGUGCAAAUCAGUUUAAUUUGAUAAUUUUUAAUUUACGUUAAUUUUUAUUUGUUAUU